UUGAGCCGUAUGACGGGAAAUCUGUCACGUACGGUUCUUAGGGGGGCGGGCGCUCGUGAGAGUGCGCCUGCCUACCCGAC
rnacentral:ncRNA from 1 species